AUUCGCUUGCCCACGAGGGCUGACGUUCGUGUCAUAUUUCCCCAUCGCUGUCUCCCACUCGUCCUGUUGGUCCAGACACACCGUCGUCCAGUACUUCCGUCACCUUGUGCGAUGCACUCGAUCUUAGAAAAAAGCUCGUAUACUUACCAAAACUUCUUCAAAACGAUCGUAAUUCUCAGGCCUAGUAUUUAGAAGGCUCUCGCCAACUGAAUCCGUGGCAUUGCUCAUCUGGCAGGAACCACGUAUGCCCAAAGCACUGGAUGUAAUAUGCAGCAAGGAUAGCACUGCCAAAAGUCCGGCUGGGGAUAUAAAAACAAAAGGGAAAUGCAUAACGGGAUGUUGAAAAUUAAAAAUCAAAAUAAAUAAGAAAAUAAAUUUAGAUGCAAUUUCUGCAUUUGGAUUUCUAUACGAAACAAAAUAAACUAUCUUAAAUGAAAAAUAGUGAUUUUUAAAUCUUGUCUUUGAUAACAUAUAAUUCUCUUCUACAACUUAGGUAAGUUACUGUCGGUAUGAGUCGAUGAGAUCCAUAGGAAGGAGCGACAGCUUUCAGGUGCUGCAUUAGAUUUAUGCAGACCCGAACUUGUUUUCGUGAAUCCUUUGGGUGAUAACAUAUUCACGAACAAGUUAAAAUGUAUAUUAUCAAUGAUAAAAAUAGCAUUAUAUUUAUAUAUUAUUUUGACUUGUUAAUUAGUUUUUAAAAUUUUAAAAUGUAACAAUUGUAUAUCUUAGUCUAAUAUAAUUAAUUAUAUUAAAUUAUACGUAUCUCUAAACAAUUUAAUUUUUUUCAUUCAUCAUAAUUAAUUUACAAAUAAUUUAGAAAUAUUCUAUUUUUUAAAUUACAAAUUUUAUUAUUUUUCUUUGAGAUUCUCCAUUACUAAAUUCUAUUAUUUCAUAUAUUUUUAAAGGUAAAAAUCUAUUUCAAAAUCGAAAUGAAUGUUUUCACAUGAGAAAAUACAAAAUUUCUCCUAAUUUAAUUAAAUGAAAUAAUAUUGAAAUAUUUUCAAAAUAAUCAUGUUAAAUUAUAUCAAAAAAUAAUACGUUAAAUAAUUUUAAUGAUAGAAUGAAAAAAAUAAAUAAAAGAAAUAAUAAUUCUACCAAUGCAUUAUUAAGCUAUGAAUCAGCUCACAAAAGGGUUCCUGUUGUUAUUUUUAAUUAAUAAUUUUCAACUUAUAAAUAUUUAAACAACCAGUUUGCCAAGUUACCCGCAACAUAGGACAACCAUAGACUAUACGGUUUCCAUGCCAAAAUACAGGAUAAUGGUAGAUAAAACAAUGCCCUCCGCCAACCUCUUGUUAUCGCCAACACUGCCGACCAACAGCAUGAACAAAGAGACUCGUCGUUCCUGAAACAAAAUAUAUACAACGUUUUAUCGAGAUUCCAAUAAACGCAAAAACGACGAAAUCGUGCAAACUAUUCUCGAACGAGGGAUUCUCACGAGUAAAAAGUAAGCGGUGGCAAGGAUGGAAAACUAGACUGGUAAUUACCACGUUCGAACUUUGUCCCAAUUUCCUCGAUCGCGGACUCACCUCCACGUGUAAAGUGGAGGGAGGGGGAAGCGGAGACGAAGAUGGGCGAAGAAAAUAUGCAAGAACCUGAUAUAGAUGUAUAAUAGAAGGGAUCGACGACGAUUGUGAGGCCACCGAGGAGGGUGGUCGUGCUCGAAGUGAAUACGGCGAAAGAUCGAGGUGGAAUAAAAAGGGAGAAAGGAGUUUCCGAAGGGAAAAGACGAUUUUAUUGGCGGACGAACUUCCGACGAUCUAUCUCGGUUCGACACCACUCGUUUCGGGAGUUUAUAUUCUUGUCGACGUUAUCAAAAGGAAUAAAGUCGACGAAUAAACGUCUGCCUCCUCCCCCCUCCCCUUUUUUUGUACCUUUCUUAUUACGACCGAUGAAAAUCAGAUGUUUUAUACCGUGGAGGAUUUUCUUCCCUCUUGCUUGUUUGCACUUCGAUGAAAAUACUCGAAGAGAUGAAGAGAGCUGGGAUGAAAAGGAGCUCGCUUUCCUGGUUUGGAAUAAUAGUGUGUGAUUAUUUAGGGAUUUUGUUAGAAAGAUCUGUUUUCAAUGAACUGAUUUUUUUCUUCUUCUUCUUCUUCUUUUUGGAAUAAAAGUUUUGAACGUAGAAAUUGAUUUAUGAAAGAUAUUUAUAGAUGUUUCAUUUUUUAUUUUGAUCACGUUAUUGUGUUUAUCUGACUGACGUAAACUAUUUUUCUGAAUGUAACUUUCUUAUUUUAUUUUUUUUAUGAUUGUUUUAUUCUACGUGCUUGGUCAUGAUUGGUCUAUUCUACUUGUUCGGACGUGACUAGCUUAUUCUAUUUGGUUGGAAGCAACUGACGCAUUCUACUUGUCUGCUCUGUUUUAUUAACUUGAUAGUGAUUAUUUUGUUCUAUUUGUCUGAUCAUUUUACAGAUUUUUAACUAUUAAAUAUAUCUAGUAUAAUAUUAAAUGAAUUUAGUGACGGUGAUAAUUUAAACGUUUAUAUUUCUGUAAAAAUCAUGUAUAUGAAAAUAUUUAUAAUAAUUUAGGAAUAAGAAUAACAUAUAGAAAGAAUAUGCUAA